CUCGUACUCCCUCCAUCCGAAAAUACUUGUCUUAGAAAUGGAUAAAAUAGAUGUAUCUAUAACCAAAAUAAUCUAAAUACAUUCAUUUCUAAGACAAGUAUUUCCAGACAGAGGGAGUACUAA
rfam:Triticum aestivum genome assembly, contig: Triticum_aestivum_CS42_TGACv1_scaffold_130815_2BL